UAUAACGGGGGGGUGUAUGACAGAUAAUACUGUAGUAAUAUACAGAGGCCUGCUGUUUAUAACGGGGGUUGUAUGACAGAUAAUACUGUAGUAAUAUACAGAGGCCUGCUGUUUAUAACGGGGGUUAUAUGACAGAACUUAAGGGGAAGUGGGAAUACUAAAUAAAUCCUAACCACCCCUACUUAAUAUUGAUGAUUUCAAUAUUGAAUAACUGUUAGGAGAUGAUUGUAGGCUAUGUGACAAUAGAUAUGUACUAAUUUAGGUGUAUUUGGUGUCAAUUUCCUUCAACUGUAAGUUGUUUAGUGCUAGACUGAACAAGUGACUGGGCAUUUUUACCUGAUGACUGACAUUGUACAACAUGUUCUAGAUCAUGUUACCAUUGUGAUUUUUACAGUAUAUUCCAAACAAUGCACAAAUAUGUAAUUGUUACGUAGUAAGGUGACAAGCAGCUGGAUUGACUUGCUUUGUCAGACCAGUAAUGAGGUUAAAUUAUGUCUUGUUAAAAAUAGAUACAAUUUUAACUAGAUUGACGAGAGGUAGGUGGUGGUGUGACGUGUUCCCAGUAUGUUGUAUUUUACAAUUGGAAAGCUACAGUAUAAAUUAGGAUGCUAAUUCUAUUUCUUUUUAAUUAUCAUCUUGAGUAUAUAUACUUGGUAGACUAUCUAGCUGUCGUUGACCAAGUGCAGAUUAUCAUUGUUUCCAGAGAUUGAAAUUAUAUGUGUACAUUUAUACAAUAAAAUUCAUAACACUGUUA